ensembl:lncRNA
AUCAGCAUUGCGGGAGGAAUGUGUUGGGGUGGGGUGGGGGCGGAGGAGCUGGCCUGAAGAGCCAGGGCACAAAGUGAGGCCCUCUGUGAGGGUGGUGUCCACUUGGCAGGGAGGAAGACCUGGCCAUGUGGAAGGAAAGCUGUGUAAAUAGCAUGCCCUUCCCAUCAGGAUCUCCAGGGAAGUCUGGCUGGGUUGGUAAUACAGCCCUGCUUUCAUGAGGCUUCCAUGAACCUUUCAAUAAAGCGCUUUGAUCUAUGGGCUCACUCACACACACACACACACACACACACCUCAUACUUAUCUUCACAGCCACCUUCCAGGGCACAUAAAGUAUGCCUGGCUUUAUUUUAUGAGGCUGGAGGAAGCCAAGGUCACUCAGCCAGCAACAGGGAGAGCAGAUGGAGCCUGGAUGCAAAGGCAGUGUGAUAAAGUUGCUGCCCUCAAGGGUACCCCGUGGACGUCCAGGGCAACAGCGGGUCCUCAGCACCCACUCUGGGCCCAGGCCUCAUCCCCUCUCCCACUUCCACAAUACCCAGGGGGGUCAUUCCUCAGACCCUGCUGGUGCUAUUAUUCCCUUGGCACUGCCCGGCAGCUUCUCUGAGUCCCUCUCCAGCCUGAGUGAGGAGCUUUGCCUGCCCCUCAUCGCCCUGCAGGGCCCUGCUAGAUUCUUCUGUCACCUUCAGUCAGGGUCCAUGUUAGAGUACAGGUUUGGCAAAGGGCUUCCCCUCUGACCCCCCGGCCCUCCUGCCCUGCAAGAUGGCAGCUGCCCUUCCCCAGGGACCAGGGAUGCAGCCGCUCUUGUAGCCUGUGGUUACCAUGGUGACGGCCCUCCGUCGGUUUCCGUGGGGGGCAGUGGUGAGGGCUGAUGUCAGGGAUGGCGUGUGUGAGCGCCUGCACUGUGUGUCCAUUUUCAGCUCCAGGUGAGGGGCGGGGGCCCUCAGGGAGUGGGACCCCUGCCUCCAGGUGGGGGGCUGUCUCUCCCUGAAGCACUGUCUCAAUAAGCUCAGCUGUGUCCUGGGGGCAGGGAAGACUGCAUGAGAGACUGGAGGACACUGAAGUGAAGAAGGAUGCUCCAGAAGGAAAACGGGAGGUUGGGGGGGCAGGUGGAGAUGGGCAUCCAUACAGGGGACCAAGAAGGAUCCAGAGCCUCAGGGGGGCAGACCUGGGGAGGGCUGGGCCCCUUAUUUCUGCCAUCCACAACCCCCACCUUCCCGGAGUGGGUGGGGUGGGUGGGGGUCUCCUGCUGCGCUUCCCCCCCAGGCCGAGAGAAGGUCCCUCUGCUCCUCCGACAUGAUCUGUAAUUUCCGGCAGACAUUUGAGGUCCCUGACAUCUGCAUAAUGUGGGCCAGUCUCUUAGCAACGGGGAACAGCUGUCUGGCAUUUCCAAGAUUAAACUGUAACUAUAC